AAGUGUUUUGUUUUUUUUCAGAUUUCUCUUGGGAACUGCUGGUAGAAAGCACCUGUCUUGUAUCUGCCGCUGACUGGCUGAUUAGCAGCAGGUGUGGAGCACCUCACUGAUCUGACCUGUGUCACUGUGAGCAGACAGCUCUGGAUUCACCUGAACUUUCUCUGUCUGUUGUCCUUCUUCCAGCUUAAAGGUGCAGAAGGCAAGUUUGUACGUUUGUGGCUCCAAAACGGCAGCGAGAGGUGAAAUAUUUUUGCUUCGGUACAAAGAAAUCCUGUAUGAAGAUCCCUAAACUGCACCAACCCAGCUGGUUUUGUGCUGCCACAAAACAGGAUCUGAUGUUGCAGAUCAAGAACCUGUGUGUGUAUGUGUGUGUGUGUGUGCGCGCACCAUGCAUGCAUGCAUCCGGCCUGGGAACCCCUCAGGAUCCAUCGGGAGGAGCUGAUGCUGAGAAGAAGAAGGACUUCUUGGCCUGCUGCCAUUAUGAUCUGGACCGUGGGAUCAAGCUCGUGAGGAGCGCUGCUGAUGGUGCAACCGACCGUUUAUCCUGCUGAGCGUUCAGAAGCUGUGCGGCUGCCCCUCUUCUUCUGUGCAGAUGGAAUCACUGUGCAGAACGAGACAAUUACUCCAUGACAACUCUGCAAACUCCAUCCACGGACGAGGUGAAAAAGCUACAAUGGACCUUGAGGAGGGUCAUAUAGCCUCGGCGAGAGCGCACGUGCCGGUCGGGAGUGUGUUUGCCCGCUCAAACGUGAGCGCGUUGGACUGCAUGAGCCGUGGCGGAGUCCGCCAUUCCCACGCUGGAGUCAGAUUGCCUUCUCACACACACGAUGGACUGAGGGGGAAACGAUGCAGCUUGUGAUCCAGUGUUAUUGUUUGUAAUUUGAUCUCACUGUUAACUGUUCACUCAAGUUACUGCUAAUGCUAACACAACGUUUUGUACUGCCGCUUCACAUUAAAAGACUUCAACUGGUCAAACAAGGGGUGGCUUUUAUUGUGAAGUAGCUACAGGAAACGCAAUGUGUUUGUCACAGAGGUUAGCGAUAAAUGCGAAUUAGAGAAAUAUUAUUGACUGAUGUCUCCAUUAAAACAAUGUGAGUUUGUUUGGCUGCGCUGUAAACAAAUAUAUUUGGUCUUCUGUGUAGAGCAAAUGCUGCAUUAAACCGCACUUCACGCAGUAUAUAAUACAUUGUUUAUAUAACAUUAUAGUGUAGUUGUAAGCAGACAUAAGGACAUGUAAGUGUUUAUUAAUGUACAAUUAUCUUGCCUUCUCCUAUGAAGACACACACAGUGGCGACUUUUAUUAGGUACACCUGUAGAAUCUAAUGCAAUCUAAUACAACAGCACUGAGGUCAUAAUGGUGUUGUACUGGGCUGCAUUAUAUUCAGAGGUGUUUCUAUUAUUCUGACCCCCUCAUGUAUGUAAACGGGGAGGACAAAAAAACUAGAAACACCUCAAUAUAAUGUCGUCCAGUACAACAGCACCUAUAACUAUGACCUCAGUAAUAGACAUAAUUCACUUUACACAUUUCUGACAAUGUCACCAAAAAGUUUGAGUAGAGAUAGACGAUAUGGCAGAGCUGUUGUAUUGGACUGCACUAGAUUGUACAGGUGUACCUAAUAAAACGGCCACGGACUGCAUUUUAUAUUAUUACAACUGUAUUAUAUUGCCAUUCAUUGUCUGUUUAAACACCAGCUUUCACUUAUGGAUGCUUUACACAACAAGUUCAAGUUAUUGACAACUAGAUUAUAGUGUUAUAAACAAUGUAUUAAAUGUUUAUGUGGUGCUUAUAAAUGCUAAAGCGUGACCUUUUAAUCAGAUAAAAACUUAUCCUGUGAUCUGCUGUCAAAGAACAUUUUAGUACUUUAGGUUCUUAAGACCCAACCCAGUAAAAUGGAUCUGUAUAGAACAGUUUAGGGGUCCUAAAUAUGCAGUGGUGGAAAGUAACUAAGUACAUUUUAGUAAGUACAUGUACUGUACUUAAGUACAAUUUUGAGGUACGUGUACCUCACUUGAGUAUUUCAAUUUUCUUAC